CAUUAGAAGCUAGUCAGCUUCAGCUGUUGCAAGCAAAUUAAAUCAAUUUAUUCACACUUUUGUUGAUUCGGAUAUUUAUUAUUUUGAUAAAAAAUGUUGAUCAAUAAAAUUUGUAAGUUAACAUGUAAUUAUGGACAUACCUUCAAUAGAUUUAUAUCUACCACAUCGAUAAAAAUGGUCCGAAAAUUGGUCAUUGAGGAAAAUGAUAAUGUUACUGUGGUCAAAGGAGUUGAAAUCGAUUCUGAUAGGAAGCAAAGUUUGAUUCCAUCAGUUGAGAAGAAUCCGGCCUGUCCUCUGUGUAGAUUAAAUUUGAAGAAUCUUUCUUAUACGGAUAUUCUUAUAAUCGGACAAUUUGUCGACGAAAAUGGUAAAAUGAUGCCUCGGGAAGAUACUCGACUUUGUAAUCGCCAAUUCGGAAUUGUCAAGCACCUAAUUCGUAAAGCUCAAACUUGCCGUUUAUUACCACGACCAAAAGAUUGGCCUGAAGCUGCUGGUACAUAUGAUAAGCUGAAUAGCUACUAUAUGUAUCCAUACAAAAGACGUGAUGACAUGUUUUGGACUGUCAAAGAUAAAUAUUGGAAAUAGUUUGAGAUUUUUAGGAUUGUGUAGAUUAACUUAUGAUGCUUUACAAAAUUAACUUAAAUACCAAUGUAAAUGAAGACCGAUAUUAAAAAUCUUGAUAAUCAGUUUUACUGAAUAGGAAAUUUGCCAUCUAAUUAAGGUAAGGUCAUCAAUUUACAGAAUUCAAGUCAAUGAAGUGAAGUCACCGGAAUUCCUUGGCUUAAAAAAAUUUCUCUUUCAGCUGAAUCAACUUUUUGUAAAUGGCGCUUUGGAUUUCAUAUGUCAGCUGUUGAUUGGUUACUUUUGUACAGUCUCUUUUUUGCAACUUGCAACAGUUGACCAAAUUCAUACAAUUUAAAAUAAAUAUGUUCUGUUUCUUUU